GAUUUUCAAUUUUAAUUCCAGAUCUCGAAAUUAUAGACCCGGGAGUAUGCGUAAAGUCCGUCGCCGGGCAGUGUUCAAAAAUGGCGAUUGCAAUGUGUUACAGAAAAAUUUAACCAGGCGACGUUUGCGAUUCCUGCAGGAUAUGUACACAACUCUGGUGGACUCACAAUGGCGUUGGACUUUGUUGGUCUUUGCUUUGAGUUUUAUACUCUCCUGGUUGAUAUUUGCUGUUCUGUGGUGGCUUAUAAUGUAUACACACGGUGAUUUAGAGGAGAUGCACCUACCUGACAAUCAAGAGGAAAGUGGUUGGCAGCCUUGUGUUUCCGCCAUUGAAGGUUUUACGUCCUGUUUUCUGUUCUCAAUCGAAACGCAACACACGAUUGGGUAUGGUGUGCGCACUACUUCGCCUGAAUGUCCCGAGGCAAUAUUUAUGAUGUGCUUCCAGUCUAUUUAUGGUGUAAUGUCUUCAGCCUUUAUGGCUGGCAUUGUCUUCGCUAAAAUGACACGCGCCAAGCAACGCGCACAAACCUUACUCUUCUCAAAAAACGCCGUCAUCUGUCAACGAGAUGGUUUUCUUACUCUAAUGUUUCGUGUGGGUGAUAUGCGGAAAUCGCAUAUUAUAGGAGCAGCGGUGCGUGCUCAGUUGGUGCGCACACGCACUACUAAGGAAGGUGAAGUAAUGACACAAUACUUCACCGAAUUAGAAAUUGGUUCAGAUGAGAGUGGCUCGAGUCUGUUCUUUAUAUGGCCAAUGGUAAUUGAGCAUAAGAUAGACGAGAACUCGCCACUUUAUAAUAUGUCAGCAACAGAUUUGCUGCAAGACAAAUUCGAAAUUGUUGUCUUACUCGAAGGCACCGUGGAGUCAACUGGACAGUCAACACAAGCACGUUCUAGUUAUAUUAAUACGGAAAUACUAUGGGGUCAUCGUUUCGAUCCAGUUGUAGUGUACAAUAAGAAUUUACAGGCUUAUGAGAUUGAUUAUGCACGUUUUAAUGAGACAACACAGGUGGAUACACCAUUGUGCAGUGCCCGCGAACUACAUGAAAUCUAUAAAGUGCAGGAAGGCUUUCGAACGCCAGAGACAACAUUUGCGAUGCGCCAAAUGUCCAUUAAUGCAAGUGACCAUAAUUCCUAAUGUUUAUGUCUCAGUAUACAUGCAACAAUGUCCAGUAUAUCCCUAUCUUGUAUUUGUAUUCCUUCAUGUCAUCUUGUGUUCGUUUUGUAUUGUUUUACAUAUUAGCGUCCAAUAUUUACUUAGUUACAUUGUCGUAAAAUUGUACUUUUGCACUUCAACAUCGAAUCUUCAGCUUCAUCAUCUACCAGCUAUUCCUCUUAUACACGUUUCUACUCCAGCUGACUUAACUCCCAGC